CAAAUUUUUACCAACUUAGCCUCAACAAAUCACACAUCAAUAAGCCAUAUCAAGACAUUCAACACAAACUAAAAUCAUGUCUUAAACAUUCAUCAUCACCACAAUCAACCAACAUGCUCUUAGACACCUCAAAUGACAACUUAUAAACAUGUCAACCAAAAAUCCAAACUUACCUAUUUAAUCCAUCUGACAAACUCACACC
rnacentral:lncRNA from 1 species